GACGAACGCUGGCGGCGUGCCUAAUACAUGCAAGAAGAACGCUGAAGGAGGAGCUUGCUUCUCCGGAUGAGUUGCGAACGGGUGAGUAACGCGUAGGUAACCUGCCUGGUAGCGGGGGAUAACUAUUGGAAACGAUAGCUAAUACCGCAUAAGAGUAGAUGUCGCAUGACAUUUGCUUAAAAGGUGCAACUGCACCACUACCAGAUGGACCUGCGUUGUAUUAGCUAGUUGGUGAGGUAACGGCUCAUCAAGGCAACGAUACAUAGCCGACCUGAGAGGGUGAUCGGCCACACUGGGACUGAGACACGGCCCAGACUCCUACGGGAGGCAGCAGUAGGGAAUCUUCGGCAAUGGACGGAAGUCUGACCGAGCAACGCCGCGUGAGUGAAGAAGGUUUUCGGAUCGUAAAGCUCUGUUGUAAGAGAAGAACGAGUGUGAGAGUGGAAAGUUCACACUGUGACGGUAUCUUACCAGAAAGGGACGGCUAACUACGUG
rnacentral:rRNA from 1 species